rnacentral:rRNA from 1 species
GAACGCUAGCGACAGGCCUAACACAUGCAAGUCGAGGGGCAUCGGGGCGAGGAGCAAUCCUUGCCGCCGGCGACCGGCGCACGGGUGAGUAACGCGUAUGCGACCUGCCCGUUGCAGGGGGAUAAUCGGGAGAAAUCCCGUCUAAUACCGCGUAACGCCGCGGGGCUGCAUGGCCCUGCGGCCAAAGGGAGCGAUUCCGGCAACGGAUGGGCAUGCGUGACAUUAGCUAGUUGGCGGGGCAACGGCCCACCAAGGCGACGAUGUCUAGGGGUUCUGAGAGGAAGGUCCCCCACACUGGUACUGAGACACGGACCAGACUCCUACGGGAGGCAGCAGUGAGGAAUAUUGGUCAAUGGGCGCGAGCCUGAACCAGCCAAGUCGCGUGAGGGAUGACGGCCCUACGGGUUGUAAACCUCUUUUGUCGGGGAGCAAAUUCCGCCACGUGUGGCGGAGUCGAGAGUACCCGAAGAAAAAGCAUCGGCUAACUCCGUGCCAGCAGCCGCGGUAAUACGGAGGAUGCGAGCGUUAUCCGGAUUUAUUGGGUUUAAAGGGUGCGUAGGCGGACUGUCAAGUCAGCGGUAAAAUACGGGGGCUCAACCUCCGCCCGCCGUUGAAACUGACGGUCUUGAGUGGGCGAGAAGUAUGCGGAAUGCGUGGUGUAGCGGUGAAAUGCAUAGAUAUCACGCAGAACUCCGAUUGCGAAGGCAGCAUACCGGCGCCCAACUGACGCUGAAGCACGAAAGCGUGGGUAUCGAACAGGAUUAGAUACCCUGGUAGUCCACGCAGUAAACGAUGAAUACUAGCUGUCCGGGGCGAAUGAGCCCUGGGUGGCACAGCGAAAGCGUUAAGUAUUCCACCUGGGGAGUACGCCGGCAACGGUGAAACUCAAAGGAAUUGACGGGGGCCCGCACAAGCGGAGGAACAUGUGGUUUAAUUCGAUGAUACGCGAGGAACCUUACCCGGGCUCAAACGACACAGGAACGUACCUGAAAGGGUUCGGCUCUACGGAGCCUGUGUCGAGGUGCUGCAUGGUUGUCGUCAGCUCGUGCCGUGAGGUGUCGGCUUAAGUGCCAUAACAAGCGCAACCCCCAUCGACAGUUGCUAACAGGUUAGGCUGAGGACUCUGUCGAGACUGCCGGCGCAAGCUGCGAGGAAGGCGGGGAUGACGUCAAAUCAGCACGGCCCUUACGUCCGGGGCGACACACGUGUUACAAUGGCAGGUACAGCGGGAAGCCACCUGGCGACAGGGAGCGGAACCCGAAAGCCUGUCUCAGUUCGGAUUGGAGUCUGCAACCCGACUCCAUGAAGCUGGAUUCGCUAGUAAUCGCGCAUCAGCCACGGCGCGGUGAAUACGUUCCCGGGCCUUGUACACACCGCCCGUCAAGCCAUGGAAGCCGGGGGUGCCUGAAGU